GAUGAACGCUGGCGGCGUGCCUAAUACAUGCAAGUCGAGCGAACAGACGAGGAGCUUGCUCCUCUGACGUUAGCGGCGGACGGGUGAGUAACACGUGGAUAACCUCCCUAUAAGACUGGGAUAACUUCGGGAAACCGGCGCUAAUACCGGAUAAUAUAUUGCACCGCAUGGUUCAAUAGUGAAAUACGGUUUUUCUGUCACUUCUAGAUGGAUCCGCGCCGCAUUAGCUAGUUGGUAAGGUAACGGCUUACCAAGGCGACGAUGCGUAGCCGACCUGAGAGGGUGAUAGGCCACACUGGAACUGAGACACGGUCCAGACUACUACGGGAGGCAGCAGUAGGGAAUCUUCCGCAAUGGGCGAAAGCAUGACGGAGCAACGCCGCGUGAGUGAUGAAGGUCUUCGGAUCGUAAAACUCUGUUAUGAGGGAAGAACAAAUGUGUAAGUAACUAUGCACGUCGUGACGGUACCUAAUCAGAAAGCCACGGCUAACUACGUG
rnacentral:rRNA from 1 species